GUUGGAUGGUGAAAAUGAUAAACAUUGCAGCCAUAUUAGCCACACAAGAUUUGAAAUUUUGUGUCUUAGCUUUACCAUUAGCAACCAAUAGGACAGUGCCAUGUGGAUGUUGCCCCACAAAUCUUAUCAGCUAUCUCCUCCGGAGAAGUGUGAAAAUGUGUGAUGGUGGUCACAUUGAAAUUUUUUUUGGAGUGAAGAUACAUUGUGCUCUAGAGAAAUUGAAAUAACUUUAAAUAUCUGGAAAAAAAAACUUUUGAUUCUGAAAAAAAUAAGUCGAGAAAAUUUAGUUUAUAUUUGAACAUUGUCACAUCUCCAAUUUGAGUAAAGUAAAAAUUAAGUUGUUUCGGUUUAUUUUUCUCUAAAACUAAAGACAGAUUUUAAAUUUUUCAUAGAAGAAAUUGAGUGUUGGAUAUUUAUUUUUCUCUUGUACCACACUGUAGUAUGUUGGUCUCAAUGGAAUUUUGUGACUAUUACUUCACAAACAUUUAUCACAUUACAUGUGUAACAUUUGUUCCUGUCCAAGCUUUUGGAUCCUCAGGGAGAAAAAAAAAAUAAGAAAAGGAAAGAAAUCAAUGGAAUGAACCCUCUCAACUGGGAUAAAAAUGUAGCAGUAGGAGCUAUAAGGAAAAUUUUGAACAGUUGAGAUUUUGAAAGGAUAACUGGCCUGUAAAAAACUGAAAGAUGUUUGUAACUUCAUCCUUCUCUUGUAUUACACAAUGCUCUCAUGUUGAUGGCAUGUUUGCAACUAUGAAAUACUACUCAUUAGGUCCUGAGAUAUUUGAUCUGUUACUCUUCAGCAUUGGUUUUGCUUAUACAACAAUGUAUGAUAUUCUGAAGUUUGUACUGCUUGAAAUAAAAAAAGCAGUUUUUUGUUUGGGUAA